AUGUGUGGCUUCAUGGAAUGGAGCAAAGAGGUGAAAGACCAGGUGGAGGACCUGGUGCCCCGACACUGCAGGCACAACAGUGUGGACAUGGAUCCUCUCUGCAGAGCCCUGCAUUCAGCCACAUGCCUAGGACAGUGGGAAGUACAGGAAUGUUCCUGUGCCUGUUUACUUGUGACAAGAUCAUCAAGUUUCCCAGCUCAGAGGGGAUACUGAGAGUGGGGGAAUAGGUAAGACUUUGCUGCUAAAAAGGAGAAAAAGCAAGAAAUGAGGAAAAUGACAGAACCAUCUAUUCUAGGGUCAACUCUAACAUAUAUUACAGGAGAAUUGUAUUUCUUGCAAAUAAAAGCAGAGACCUUCUGAUGUUUGUUUUUUUA
rnacentral:lncRNA from 13 species